rnacentral:sRNA from 1 species
UGCAUCUGUAAAUUUAGAUGGGACAAAUCACUUUUUUGUGGCAUCUAAUAUUUUAAGUCCCAGAAGCAUUGUUCUAGAUCCACGAUAUCAAAUUCUCUGCUGGACUGACUGGGGACUUCAUCCAGAGAUUGCAUGUUCCAGCUAUGAUGGAUCAAACAAAAGAACAUUAGUGGAUACAAACCUGAAAUCUCCCAAUUCUCUUGCUAUUGAUUACAAUGAGAACAGAAUCUACUUUGUUGAUAGUGGCAUGAACACCAUAGAGUCUGUAGACUUUCGUGGUAACAACAGAAGAGUAAUUUUACAAGGAGUAGAAUAUCACUACAUCUCACUUGACAUAUUUUAUGAUGUUUUAUUUUUUACAACUUGGGAGACUAAAACUGUGAUGCAAAUAAAAAAGAUGGCUCACAACAAUCAGAAAUUGGCCCUGCCAACUUUAAUGAGGUGUCUGAACUCAGAGUUUACAGAUACGGCAAAGAUUAUGUAGGUAACAACAUGAGUUUAUCUCUUCCCUCUGACAUUAAUAGAACUUUUGUUCGGAUGUAUGGAACAAGAAACUUUUACAGUGGUCAGAUAGAAGUCUUUGACAAAGGUCUCUGGGAAAGAGUCUGUUACUGGAAUGAUCCUGAUGCCAAAGUUGCUUGCCACAUGAUGGGAUUCGACAGAAAUGUAUCGAUAAAAAUGAACCCCAGGGAGUUAUCUAGUAACUAUGCAUGGAAUAGAACAGGCUGUUUGGGCUCUGAAAAUCACAUCGAUGAGUGCAGCUCUCCAUCACAAAACAGGGGCUACUAUUAUUGUUUUGGAUCUGGAGCUAACUGUGAACCACAGGAACAAGGAAACACUACUCAGGAUUUUCAAAUUGACAACUUUUUGUUAUUUAGCGAUGAGAAUGGUCAUUGGAUAAGAAUGGAUUUGAACACAAUCAG